CUCAGUUCGGAUUGGAGUCUGCAACCCGACUCCAUGAAGCUGGAUUCGCUAGUAAUCGCGCAUCAGCCACGGCGCGGUGAAUACGUUCCCGGGCCUUGUACACACCGCCCGUCAAGCCAUGGAAGCCGGGGGUGCCUGAAGUGCGUGACCGCAAGGAGCGCCCUAGGGUAAAACCGGUGACUGGGGCUAAGUCGUAACAAGGUAAC
rnacentral:rRNA from 1 species